GUAGGGAAUAUUGGGCAAUGGUCGGAAGACUGACCCAGCCAUGCCGCGUGCAGGAAGACGGCCCUCUGGGUUGUAAACUGCUUUUAUCUGGGAAGAAAAAGGCCAUGCGUGGCAAAUUGCCGGUACCAGAUGAAUAAGCACCGGCUAACUCCGUGCCAGCAGCCGCGGUAAUACGGAGGGUGCGAGCGUUGGCCGGAUUUAUUGGGUUUAAAGGGUGCGUAGGCGGCUGAUUAAGUCAGCGGUGAAAGACUUCGGCUUAACCGGAGCAGUGCCGUUGAUACUGGUUGGCUUGAGUGUCGGAGGGGUACAUGGAAUUGAUGGUGUAGCGGUGAAAUGCAUAGAUACCAUCAGGAACACCGAUAGCGAAGGCAUUGUACUGGCCGACAACUGACGCUGAUGCACGAAAGUGUGGGGAUCGAACAGGAUUAGAAACCCUAGUAGUCC
rnacentral:rRNA from 1 species